rnacentral:rRNA from 2 species
UGAUGGGAGCUUGCUCCCUGAUAUCAGCGGCGGACGGGUGAGUAACACGUGGGUAACCUGCCUGUAAGACUGGGAUAACUCCGGGAAACCGGGGCUAAUACCGGAUAACUCAUUUCCUCGCAUGAGGAAAUGUUGAAAGAUGGCUUUUUGCUAUCACUUACAGAUGGACCCGCGGCGCAUUAGCUAGUUGGUGAGGUAACGGCUCACCAAGGCAACGAUGCGUAGCCGACCUGAGAGGGUGAUCGGCCACACUGGGACUGAGACACGGCCCAGACUCCUACGGGAGGCAGCAGUAGGGAAUCUUCCGCAAUGGACGAAAGUCUGACGGAGCAACGCCGCGUGAGUGAUGAAGGUUUUCGGAUCGUAAAGCUCUGUUGUUAGGGAAGAACAAGUGCCGUUCGAAUAGGGCGGCACCUUGACGGUACCUAACCAGAAAGCCACGGCUAACUACGUGCCAGCAGCCGCGGUAAUACGUAGGUGGCAAGCGUUGUCCGGAAUUAUUGGGCGUAAAGCGCGCGCAGGUGGUUCCUUAAGUCUGAUGUGAAAGCCCACGGCUCAACCGUGGAGGGUCAUUGGAAACUGGGGGACUUGA